rnacentral:lncRNA from 1 species
AUAUGAAGCUGACAUUGCCCCAGAAGGAACUUUGGAAAAAAUGUGCUUGUAUACAGAUGUAGCAGAACUGUGCCAGCCAUGGGCAAGUAAUAACAGUCUUACAGAGCACUUGAAGCAGAGGAAGGAAGGUGAAUUCCAGCCACGGCCCGUGGACACGUGGACACGUGUCUCUAGAAACUUGUGGUGGAAAGAACCUCCAGAACAGGGGCUAUUUGCAUGCUGUCAGAAAGGUAAGAUGAGUUGA